ensembl:lncRNA
GGAAAAUGAACAUGUAAUGUGUCAUCUUUGACACUUGCAAGCAGACCGCAUUUCAAUCACAUUCAAUACACACCCAAGACUAACUGAAGUUACCAUUCUCAGCAUUCCAUUUCCUUAAAAUCUGUCAAAAUGACAUUUGGCACAGGACCAAUGUUUCCACUGUGUUCUAGCAUGCUACCUGGUCCUUAAAUCAUUUUACCUGUUAAGAUGACUAAUGCAUUUAUUCUAGCAAUGUAAGAGAUUUGUGAGCACUACUUUAGUCUUCUGGGGCAACAAGUUAUGACAGAAGAGAAGCUGCAUGUAUUAAAAUAUAGUUGACAAAUGGCCUACCAAAAGGAAGUAAGCAGAAACUUUUCUAAAUUAGGGGUGAACAUAGCCAUUAAGCUCAGUAAUGGUGGAUCAAAUUGAGCAAGUAGCCCACUUUAAAUGAAUUUGACAGAGUCAGACAACCAUGAGACGUUUCACCACAAAAACAGAAUUGAUGGUUACAUGCCACAGUAGCCCAUCUCCAGGGUACAAGCUUUCUCAGGUUUUUGUAAAACAGGAUUUGAUGUUUACAUGUCAACACAAAAUAAAUACUUUAGUAUCCCGAACGGGAUAUUGAUGGUCAGUGGCUUUAACGUAGAGCCAAUCUUGGGAUUUGUCAACCAGCAGCAAAGAAAAUAAAUUAUAUAUUUCAAAUCCAAAAGAAUAGGAACAUUCCCUUUUACUACAAAUUGCACUGGCAACCAACACGGUUCUCAACCAGCUAGCCAAAGGUAGACAUUAAACACACAGUAUUUCAAAACACAAGGAGGCACUUAAAGUACAAUAUUUUAUUGUUUUACAAGUAAUGCAGGGUAGCAUGAGCAGCAGCAUCUCCCUGGCCGACGCAAAAGCAUACAGUGGAAGCUUAAAGAAAGUGUCAGCAACAACUUGGAUUUGUCAUCUAAAGGAUGAAUCUACCAUUGCAAUUCUGUUGAUAGAUGAUUAGUACAAAUGAUUUCUAAAUCAGAACGCAAAGUGCAGGUGAGUGUAAAAGUUGCACAUUACAUCCCAGUAGACUUCCCUUGUGGCAGGGCACCUUUAGCAGGUUGUGAGUUUUUAGCAGGUGGGGAUAUGCUUGGUUCAGAGAUGCCAACGUCCUUGAGAGUAUCUCCGCUAUCAAAAUGGUAUAACCUCCCCAGUGGUGUGGCAGGUUUGGGAGUAGACAGUCUUGCCAUUCUCAUACACAGAUUUGUAAAUAUAUUGGGAUGAGAACUGACUAUUCAACGAUGCUGCCUUGAACGCUGAUGGAGCUGAGACAUUGGGUACUUUCAUUGGCCCCAUCAGACCCAAAAUCCUGAGAAACACCACUGCUGCUAAAAUCCAUGUUGCUUGAGGAGUUGGCCCUCCUGUUCGAGGCCUGUGGCUUCCGCCGAGGCAAGGGCGCCUGUGGCUUCCGCCGAGGCAAGGGCGCCUGUGGCUUCCGCCGAGGCAAGGGCGCCUGUGGCUUCCGCCGAGGCAAGGGCGCCUGUGGCUUCCGCCGAGGCAAGGGCUCCUGUGGCUUCCGCCGAGGCAUUUGAACCAGAUUUGAUGAGGUACCGACUUGAUGAGGUACUGUGGCCGGUUUCUUCACCUAAGGCAUUUGGGCCAGUCGUGGCACUUGCUGAGGCAUUGUGGGUGACUGCUUCUGAGGCACGGGAUCCGGUUGCUCCACCUAAGGUAUUUGGGCCAGUCGUGACGCUUGCAGUGGCAUUACGGGUGGCUGCUUCACCUGCCGAGACAC